AGACGAGGCCAGACGGGGAAAGGGCUCAGAGAGGUAAAGGGCUCGGAGUCGCUGGGGGGAGGGGUUCCCACUGGAGGUAACUGAGAGGUGCAGGGGGGCUCGGAGAAUACCGGCUGCAGGGAACGAAGCCGAAGGUUCUGAACGGUCAAGCGAAAAGGCCAGGUGCAGGGAGGCGAAAGGAGGCCAGAGUGCAAACAGCAGGAGAAAUCCUGCGAGCCCCCCCUUCUCCGGGCCGGAGCCCGGGUGCACGCUCGUCCCAAACCCGCCGCGCUGCCCACCUUCCGGAGAGGAACCCCGCGCGCGGCAGAGCCGGACGCCAGGGGCUGGACGCCCAACCACCUAGUCACUCCCCAGGACGCAGUUAUCGCGCGCAAAGCAGCUGGGGGACCCCGCAAGGAAACUCAGGCACAAUGGAGCCCGCUUCUUUUUCUGUCAACUCUGAAUGCUAUGUCUGGUUUGGUCCUGGCUGCUAGUUCGAAGCUGGAACAUCCUCCAGAGCUGGGGCCCAUUUCCUUUUAUUUGCCUUGGGCCCCAAAUGAAAAGCAUCUAUCCGCAUGCCUAAUAAAAAUUUUCUUAAAUCGGGCCACGCAGGCUUUUUCCCAGGUUCUGCGCCCUGACCCCAUUCCCUCUGCUCAUGCUUUUGGCAUUGUAUUGGAGUGUGUUGACUUGACCAAGCUCCCAAACAACCUCCCUGCUCCACCUCAGCUUGGUCUGCCCAGAGGCUCGUACCCCAACCAUCACCCCCCAGCCACCAGAUCGGUGGCAGUAUGUUGUUGGGUCUUGUUGACAUUUUAGAGAGAAAAGCGCCAGAGGUGAAGUUUUCUCGGGUUUUAUAUCUCAAAGCGAUUUGUUCUUGGGAACAGAAUUCUGUCUGAAGUAUUAAUAAUUCGGCUCUAGGUGUCCAGCCCCGUUCAUAUUCAUGAUGUGAAACGGGCAACCAUGCACCUAUCCCUGCAGAACCCACUCCGGGUACAAAUCCGGUAACCUUUCAAGACGCGUGUCAAGGGAAGCUGGAGACCUGGCUUUCCCAGUGGGGGUUCAGCUCCCGGGAGGGGGGAGAGGAGCCCGAGGCCCGCGCCGUCUCGUUUCCUGGUAGGAGAAGGUGCAGGCGGAGGCGGGGCCUCCCGUGAUACAGGUGGCAGCUCUCGUCCCCUGAGAGCGGGCGAAGGCCAGGGUCCCACACUCGCAGCGCUGCGACGGCGCUCGGGACCUCCCUCGUCCACUGCUUGAGUUCCAGAGGUGGGUGCUUCCCUGUCCUGAACUUCAGAGUGCGGAGUCAUAAAUGGGUUCCGGCUGGCUUACUGCAGUAGCCUCGCUCCUCCCCAGCCCCGGUAACUCCGAGCUACCCGUCCAGGCCCUCGGGCGUCGCGGGGGCAGGGACUGGGCGCGGAACGAGGCAGGGAGGGACCUGGAAAAACCACCCAGAUUGCAUUGCAGUGGGCGAGGCCGCCUGGAGGAGCCGGUUCCCCCUAACCACCUCCCCGUGGGGCUCUCGGUGCGCGGUUCCCAGGUGCUCAGCUCUGCUGGGCCCAGGAGGUGCCGCCUCACAGGGACGCGGAACCCCGUGCGUGGCCCCCGCCGGGUGGAACAGAUAGCGCGGGGCGGUCCGGAGGCUCGUCGCCAAGCAGCGCCAGAGACCCAAGUUGAGGAACAGCCUAUAAAAUAACUGGCCUGUACUCUUACAUACAUGAAAGCCAUCAAAGACAAAGACUGAAGAAGAACUUUUGCAGAUUAAAGGACUUUAAGAGACAUGAUCCUGAACCAGAAAAAGUAAAAAAUAAAAAAAUAAAAAGAUCUGUAGAUUAGAUAAUAGUUUUAUAUCCAUGUUAAUUUCCCAUUUGUUGUAAUAUUACUGUGGUUGGGCAAGAGAGUGUCUUUGUUGGUGGAAGUAUCUACUGAAGUAUUUAGGGGUAAAGAGGAAUCAUGUCUGUAACUUAUGCUCAAAAGGUUCAGACAAAAUAUAUGUAAAGGGAAUGAUAAAGCAAACGCAAUAAAAUGUUAACAUUGGGGAAUCUGUAUAAGGGAAUUAUUAACUUUUCUGUAAGUCUAAAAUUAUUUCAAAUUAAAAAUAAUUUUUUUAAGCCUCAGAGGACAUUUUGCUGCCACCGCCUUGCUGGUGGUUGACAAGGCUCUGUGUCAUGACUUUUUUUUCUGCUAAUCUAACUACUUGUACUGUAAAAUAAACCCAUUUUCUUUGUUUUUUCCUUAGUGAAUGAAAGAGGGUGAAAGAAAAGGUCACCAUUUUCUGUAUAGUAAUCCGUUCAUAUACUUUAAGGUCGUUCUUAACUCACCUUUCCUAGACUAAAUAACUGCAAACUCUUUAAAGUUUUCAUUGUGAAUCUUACUUUCCUGCUCUUUAAUUAUCUUCAUUACCCUCCUUUGACCCUUUUUCUCAUCACUUUUAGAGAGCAGCUCUUGAACUGGACAGAAUACAAAUGUGUCUGCUGGGGCUUCACUGUUGACACAGUGGUACCUAUAUGUCAUAAUCUUUUUUUAUUUUUUUGAGAUUCAAUUAUUUUUAUUCCAGAGAUAUAAGUAAAAAUGUAAGGCCGGGCAUGGUGGCUCACACCUGUAAUCCCAGCACUUUGGGAGGCCAAGGCGGGCAGAUCACCUGAGGUCAAGAGUUUGAGACCAGCCUGGCCAACAUGGUGAAACCUCGUCUCUACUAAAAAUACAAAAAAAAUCAGCUGGGCAUGGUGGUGCACUCCUGUAGUCCCAGCUACUCGGGGAGGCUGAGGCAGGAGAAUCACUUGAACCCAGGAAGCAGAGGUUGCAGUGAGCCAAGAUUGUGCCACUGCACUCCAGCCUGGGCAACAAAGGGAGACUCCAUCUCCAAAAAAAAAAAGGUAGGCCGGGUGUGGUGGCUCACGCCUGUAAUCCCAACACUUUGGGAGGCCAAGGUGGUUGGAUCACGAGGUCAAGAGAUCGAAACCAUCCUGGCCAACGUGGUGAAACCCCGUCUCUACUAAAAACACAAAAAAUAGCCGGGCAUGGUGGCGCACACCUGUAGUCCCAGCUACUCGGGUGGCUGAGGCAGGAAAAUUGCUUGAAUCCGGGAGGCAGAGGUUGCAGUGAGCCAAGAUGGCGCCACUGCACUCCAGCCUGGCGACAGGCGGAGACUCCAUCUCAAAAAAAGAAAAAAAAAGUGAACAGAUAUAUUGACAUAAAAUUCAUAAAACAUAUGGGUAUAUUAAAAACUGGAAACUCAGGUUGCCUUUGAGGAUAAGAACUGAGGGCCUAUGUGUCAAGAAUACUUUGCAGUUAGCCACCGCGCUCAGCCCUCUAGAUCUUUGUUAGUGUUUUAAUUGCACAUACUUAGUUAUUCUCUUGUACUUAUAAGAAAAUCUAAGCUGGGCGUGGUGGCUCACGCCUGUAAUCCUAGCACUUUGGGACACUGAGGUGGGCAGAUCACUUGAGUUCAGGAGUUGGAGACCAGCCUGGCCAACAUGGUGAAACCCCGUCUUUACUAAAACACAAAAAUUAGACGGGCAUGGUUGCAGACACCUGUAAUUCCAGCUACUCAGGAGGCUGAGGCAUGAGAAUCACUUGAACCUGGGAGGCAGAGGUUGCAGCGAGUUGAGAUGGGGCCACUGCACUCCAGCCUGGGCAACAGAGCAAGACUUCAUCUCAAAAAACAAAACAAAAUCUUCUACAGUGAAUCAAAGUAUGAAAAUAUUCUCAAAUUAUAUAGCGGCAAUGCUUGCACAAAUCUUUUUAUGUACUAAAAACCACUGAAUUAUAUACUUUAAAAGGGUGAAUAUUAUGGUAUGUGAGAAUUAUAUUUCAAUUUUUAAAAAAGCAAAUCAAAGUAGAAACCUGUGUUCUGAGGCUACCAAAAGCCACUGAUACUCUUAGUUAUUCAUACUAGAUGCAUUUGUAAAAGACACCACAUUUUAUACUCCCUGGACAUGUCUAGCCUCUGAAGUGGAGAGGCAAGGAGAAGUGAUGAUCAAGAUAAAUAUAUAAAUUAUAAUUAUCCAUUACUCUGUGCAUUACACAUUUAAAGAAAUUACUGGCCUGAACCUUUAUUAUAGCGAUUAUUACAGAUCAUGAGGAAAAGUAUGGGUUUAAUAGUUGGCUCUGCCAUUUGCUACCUUGUGGCCUUGGGCAUGUUCCUUAACCUCACAAGAACUCAGUUUUACCUGUAAAAAUGGGGACUUUGAUGAUGUACACUUCAUAGGUUUUAAGGAGAGAGAUUUUUGCGUACAAAAGCUUCCUAAGGAAAACAAACCUGAGAACCAGGAAGGUUACUACUGAAGAGGAAUCUCCAAGUGAGGGGGGUUCUUUCCAGACAACCACAAAGGCUGAUGAUUCUCUGGCCUUAGCGUAGACAAAAGACACCAUUGAGGCAUUUGAGCAAGACUUUACUGACUGCUAUGUCAUAGGAAAAUACACAGAAAAAUACAGAUAGGGAAAUGCGCCAUUAAUCUGCACAGCAUGGCUUAUAAGAUCCCCCUGAUCCUUGGGGAUCACAAAACUGAUCCCAUUUAACUGGGCAUCCAGGUAAAAAGAGAUGCCACCAAGAGAAUUCCUCCCUCCUUACUGCUGGCCUUUUGCCAUCAAGGUAUCAAUUACCCCUGUCCCUGAGCCCCUUGCCCAGGAGUAAGUCCCUGUCUCUUCCAAAGCCCAAAGAGAGGAAAGCACAGCAGCACGCCUUAUCUUUUAAGUCAAGGUGGGGUUGACAAGGGUGAAUGUUUAAAGAAGGAAAGGAAGUUUUGUUUCUCUUCUUUCCUAAGGCCCUAUGCAUCCCUGUAGCCUGCCUACUCACCUAUCCAUUUGGCUGAUAAAGGGCCAAUUUUAUUAUUCUGGCAAAAUGUAACCUAAAAACCAGGAAAUAGUUGUCGCCCUGUUUUAUGUCUGUUUGAAGUGUGUGAAAUGGCCAGGUGUGGUGGCUCAUGCCUGUAAUCUCAGCACUUUGGGAGGCCAAGGCGGGCGGAUCACCUGAGGUCAGUUCAAGACCAGCCUGGCCAACAUGGUGAAACCCCGUCUCUACUAAAAAUACAAAAAUUAGCUGGGUGUGGUGCACGCCUGUAGUCCCAGCUACUCAGGAGGCUGAGGCAGGAGAAUGGCGUGAACCCAGGAGGUGGAGCUUGCAGUGAGCCGAGAUUGUGCCACUGCACUCCAGUCUGGGCGACAGAGCGAGACUCCAUCUCAAAAAAAAAAAAAAAAAAAAAAAAGAAGUUGAAUCUCUUCCUCACACCACACAGAAAAACGAAUUUAAAAUAAAUGUCCAUUACACACCAGACUAUUGAUAAAAUAAAAAUAAAAAAUAAAUAAAAUGAUGGACCAAAAUGUAAGAGUUAAAUCUAUAAAAUGGGAAAAAUGGAGUACAUCUUCAUGAUUUUGUAUUAGGCAAUGGCUUCUUAAAUAUGACUCCAGAAGAACAAGCAACAAAAGAAAAAAAGGAUGAAUUGAAAUUCAUCAAAAUUAAAAGCUUUAGUACAUCAAAGGACAUGAUCAGGAAAAUGAAAAGACACCCCACAGAAUGGGAGAAAAUAUUUGUAAAUCAUAUAUCCGAUAAGGGUCUAGUAUCCAGAAUAUACAGAUUUUUUCUUUUUCUUUUUUUUUUUUUUUUUGAGAUGGAGUUUCCCUCUUGUUGCCAGGCUGGAAUGCAAUGGCACGAUCUCAGCUCACCGCAACCUCCACCUCCUGGGUUCAAGCGAUUCUCCUGCCUCAGCCUCCCGAGUAGGUGGAAUUACAGAUAUGUGCCACCAUGCCUGGUUAAUUUUGUAUUUUUAGUAGAGAUGGUGUUUCUCCAUGUUGGUCAGGCUGGUCUCGAACUCCCGACCUCAGGUUAUCCACCCACCUUGGCCUCCCAAAGUGCUGAGAUUACAGGCAUGAGCCACCACGCCUGGGCCAAAAAAAAUUUAUAACUAAAAAAUGAAAGUUCUACUUGCUGUAGCUCUUGGGGGAAAAGAAAAACAAAAGACAAAUCACCCAGUCAAAAAAUGGGCAAAAUAUUUGAAUGGACAUUUCUUUAAGAAAUGUACACCAGUCACAGUGGCUCACACCUAUAAUCCCAGCACUUUGGGAGGCCGAGGUGGGUAGCUUACUUGAGUCCAGGAGUUUGGACCAGCCUGGGCAACAUGGCGAAACCCAUCUCUACAAAAAUUAGUGAGUGUGGUGGUGCUCAGCUGUGGUCCCAGCUACUCAGGCGGCUGAGGUGGGAGGAUGGCUUCAGGAGGUCGAGGCUGCAGUAGGCUGAGAUGGCCCCACUGCACUCCAGCCAGGGCAACAGUGUGAGACCCUGUCUCAAACAAACAUAUAUAUAUAUACACACAUACACAAAUGGAUAAGUACAUGAAAAAAUGUCCACUAGGAAAUACCAUUUUUAUCUACACUAAACUGGCUAAAAAUAAAAAGGCAGACCCAAGUGUUGACAAUAUAUGGAGAAAUUGGAACCCUGAUUCAUUGUUGGGGGGAUUGUAAAAUGGUACAGUCACUUUGGGAAUAGCCUGACAGUUCCUCAAAAGGUUAAACAAAGAAUUACAAUAUGGCUCAGCAAUUCCAGUCCUAGUAUAUACCCAAGAAAUGUGAAGCCAUAUGUCCAUGGAAAACCUUAUACACAAAUGUUCACAGCAGUAUUAUUCAUAAUAGCCAGAAAGGAGAGGAUCGCUUGAGCACAGGAGGUGGAGGUUGCAGUGAGCCAAGAUGGCGGCACUGCACUCCAGCCUGGGUGACAGAGUGAGACCCUGUCUCAAAAAAAAAAAAUUAGCCAGAAAGUAGAAGCAAUCCAAUUGUCCAUCAACUGAUGAAAGGCUAAACAAAAUGUAGCACAUCUUCUCUAGAAAAAAAAAAUUAGUCAUUUAUCUAUAAAAGGAUAAAGAAGUACUGAUACAUGCUACAAUCUGGAUUAAUCUUGAAAACUUUAUGCUUAGUGAAAGAAACGAGUCACAAAGGCCACAUGUCAUAUAAUUCAAUUUAUAUGAAAUGUCCAAAAUAGGCAAAUUCGUAGUGACUGAAAGUAGAUUAAUGGUUGCCAGGGGCUGGAAGCAAAGGAAGAAUGGGGAAUUUCUUCUAAUGAAUACAGGGUUUCUUUUGGGGUGAUGAAAUGUUCUAAAAUGACAGUGAUGUUGAGUUUACAACUCUGAUACACUAAAAACCACUGAGGUGUAAAAGGAUGAAUUUUAUGGUGUGUGAAUAAUAUGUCAAUAAAGCUGUUAUAAAAAAGAACUUAUCAUAUAGCAUUAAAAUUAUGUCUUCAUAUGUAUUUCUUCCUCUUACUAGAAUUAGACUACAUGGUAGGCAGCAAAUACUAACAAGAAAGAAAUUAAGAGACAAAAAAAGAAUAAAAAUGACAGAAGAAAAAAAUCAAACUAAAACAAAACAAAAAAAUAGAAUUAGACUAUGAGCUUUCUUCAUCCUUACACAUGGUUAGAUACUCAACGAACACAAUAAAUACUUGAUGAUCCAGUAAUUAAUUCAUUGAUCUAAUCUUUGAAAGAAGUUUAAGACAUUAACAGGCAGUUGGAAGGGAAGAUUAUUCUCUGCAAAGGCAGUGGCUGAGCACAGAGAAGGAAGGGCAGUAGGCUUGAGCAGCCAGCAGUUCUUGAUUGGCUAGGAGAAGCAGGGAAGGAAGCAGUACAGAUAAGGGUGUUAAGGGCUGUACUACCUACUAAAUUUGCUCCAUAUUUAAUUGUUGUUAAAUAUUGUUAAUUCAUAGUGCUUGGCUGACUAAAAAUAUUUUCAGAGAAAAUGACGAUUCAGUCUCUUUCCCCUGCACUUUUUCUUGUCUCCUUAGUGUAAUCAAAAGCUACAAGUGAGGCUGGGUGUGGUGGCUAACACCUAUAAUCCCAGCACUUUGGGAGGCCGAGGCAGGCGGAUCACUUGAGGUCAGGAGUUUGAGAGCAGCUUGGCCAACAUGGAGAAACCUCAUCUCUACUAAAAAUAUGAAAAUUAGACGAGGUGGUGGCGUGCGCCUGUAGUCUCAGCUGCUUGGGAGGCUGAGGCAGGAGAAUCACUUGAACCCGGGAGGCGGAGGUUGCAGGGAGCCAAGACUGUGCCACUGCACUCCAACCUGGGCAACAGAGCGAGACUCCAUCUCAAAAAAAAAAAAGCUACAAGUGAGAUUGUGCCAAUUGGAACAAAACAAGAAGUAAAAGUUUCAUCUCUGAUGGGCUCUGGCCAGCGCUGCCCCCCGGGCCUUCUGCUCUAGAAGCCCAUGGUGAUCCUCAUGUGCCAUUCACCUGGCUACUUGGCCCUAAUUUCACACAGUUCGAAGCCAGAAACCUGCUGUUUGAGCCUACCUUCCCAGAGUCCUUCCUUCUUUCAUGAAUUGAACAAACAUUCAUUGAACACCUGCUUUUUGCCAGAGAUUAUGUGAGGCAUGGGAUAUGGCAGCAAAUAAGUCAACUUUGCUGUCAAUAUAUGUCAUAGUAGUCAUUGUUGAGUUGAGGCAUUUCUAUUUGGCUAUUAGUAGCAUUGGUUUAGAAAGAGCCUCAAAACCCUCUCUAGUGGACUUCUUGUGAGAACACUACCUUAUAUUUGAAUAGAACUAUUCAAGGAUUUCACAUGCAAUAUUCCAUUUGAUACUAAAAUCUAUUUUAAAAAAAGAAGAGAGGGCAGGUAUUGUCUUCAUUUUGCAGAUGAGGCCAAUGAGAUUCGGAUAGGUUAAAUGAUUCCUUCGAGUUCACACAGCUAGUAAACAGCGAAGCCUGCUUGGGAACCCAGCUGCGACUUCUAAUUGGUUGCUUUUCCCGUUACCCCUUAUGGAGACCAGAAGAUCCAGCUUCUUAGGAGGCAGCUGCCUCUGUCUGUGUGUAAACAAUAAGGCAGCAAAAGACUGUUGGGUUUGCUCUUUUUAAAUUUUUAAUAAACCAUCACUGUGUUUAUUAUCAAUUUAAUAAACAAGCAACCAUCAAGAAGCAAAGUAAUGAACCCAGCAGAUAGGGACAUUGUGAAAAUAUGUUUCUAUGAGACUUGUAAGUGCACAGUUAGUGAGAACAGAAAUCAAAUUUUUAGCAAAAGAUGUAGUUCCUGACUGGUGGGGGCCACCCAGAACUCUCUCCUGGAGAUCCUUCUCAUUUACCUCAGCUGUGAGCCUCUGUGUGAAUGAUUUCCAAAUUCAGUUCAACAGGUGUUGAAUCAAUGACCUACAGAAUGUCCCACGCACUCAGAAUAUAAACAAGAAUGAAGCUCACCUCAGGUUUCAGAGCUCCCAGGCUGCAUUAGGAAAACAAAUAAUUAAAAUACAAUGUGUGCUGCUUAAGCACAGGAGUUUGAGAUCAACCUGGGCAACAUAGGGAGAAACCGUCUCUACAAAAAAUAAGAAAUUAGCCAGGUGUGGUAGAGAACGCCUGCGGGGGCUAACGUGGGAGGAUGGCUUGAGCCCAGGAGAGGUCGGGAGAGGUCGAGACUGUAGUGAGCCAUAUUGGUGCCAGUGCACCCUAGCCUGGCUGAGAGAGCAAGAACCCAUCUCAAAAACAAAACAAAACAAAACACCCCCCCCAAAAAAACCCACCACACACACAACAAAAUAAAACCAAUGUGGGCAUGGUGGCUCAAGCCUGUAAUCCUAGCACUUUGGGAGGCCAAGGUGGGUGGAUUACUUGAGCCCUGGUAUUUGAGACCAGCUUGGGCAACAUGGUGAGACCCUGUCUUGACAAAAAAUAAAAAAUUAGCCAGGCCUGGUGGCGCAUGCCUGUACUCCCAGAUACUUCGGAGGCUGAAGUGGGAGGAUCACUUGAGCCCAUGAGGUUGAGGCUGCAGUGAGCCAUGAUCAUGUCACUGCACCCCAGCCUGGGCAACAGAGUGAGACCCUGUCUCAAACAAAACAAAACAAACAAAAAACAACGAAUACAUCUCAUAAUGGGCAAGUGCUCUAACGAUGUAGAAGUUUUUCUAAAAAAUAAGGUGAGGAAGCACUUACGUGUAGUAAACAUUACUUUAUAAUUCUACAUCUGAAAUCGUAAAUCUUUCAAUCUCUAAGCUUUCCAGUUUCCUUAAUGAAAAUAAAUAACAUUUUUAUUUAAUACUUAUGAUGCAGUGGACAUUAUGCUAACUGCUUUACAGGUAGUAUAUCUCAUUUAAUCUUCAUAACAACCUUAUUUUUUUUUUUUUCAUUUUACAGAUCAAGAAUCUGAGGCUCAGGGAGGUUAAAUGACUUGUUCCAGGUCCCACAGCCAAGAAGUGGGAAGAGCCAAUUUGGUCUCCUAAGUGCAUCCUCUUAAUUGUGAUCCUGUAUGGCCUCUUUUUCUCCUAAUGCAAUGUUCUCUGAUCUUACCUCCAAACUUUGGCCUCUGUUUUCUCCGGUCUCUCAGCCGUCACCUAUCCUUCUCUGUCUAUCCUCCUACCAUGCCAGACCACUCACAGGUACCCCCUGGUGUGUGGUGUGGUAUCUCUUUGCCUUUGCACACAUGUUCCCUCUACCUGGAUGAGCCAAUCACAGAGCCACCAAACUCAUUUGUAAAUCUGGCCAAGUGAAAGAUGAAAAUGAGCCACAGUAGUAUACAGUAUAUUUGAAACAAUGGCCGGGCGCAGUGGCUCAUGCCUGUAAUCCCAGCACUUUGGGAGGCCGAGGUGGGUGGAUCACCUGAGGUCAGGAGUUUGAGAUCAGCCAGGCCAACAUGGCGAAACCCUGUCUCUACUAAAAAUACAAAAAAAUUAGCCAGCUGUUGUGGCGGUUGCCUAUAAUCCCGGCUACUCAUAAGGCUGAGGCAGGAGAAUCACUUGAACCCAGGGGUUGGAGGUUGCAGUGAGCCAAGAUUGCGCCACUACACUCCAGCCUAGGCGAAAGAGGGAAACUCCAUCUAAAAGAAAAAAAAAAAAAAGAAAAAGAAAGGAAACGUUAAUGUCAUUUCUAUAACACUGAAAAAAUUUAAGAGAUUACGGAAGUGGAAAACUUAUGGUAGCAUUUAUAAGUGAAAAGAUCUUAUUCAUAGAAUGUAGGAACACAUUCUAAGUGCAGUUGUAACAUUCACAUAAUUUCAUCCUGUAUUGUAGGACAAAGAUAUACACAGUUAAUACUUCAAGUUAUUAUUUCUAUAUAUGGCAUUCUUAGACUAUAACAAAACAAAAAUUUUAAUGUGUUUCAAUGCAAUGUCUUUAAAAAUAAGCAUAUGUAUGUGUGUGUAUGUGUGGCACAUAUAUAUGUAUAUAUACAUAUAGUCUCUUAAAACCUAAAUCAUAAAGCGAAUCUGGGUC
rnacentral:lncRNA from 1 species